AUUGAACGCUGGCGGCAUGCCUUACACAUGCAAGUCGAACGGCAGCACGGGGGCAACCCUGGUGGCGAGUGGCGAACGGGUGAGUAACGCAUCGGAACGUGCCCGGUAGUGGGGGAUAACUAGUCGAAAGAUUAGCUAAUACCGCAUACGACCUAUGGGUGAAAGCGGGGACCUUUACCGGCCUCGCGCUAUUGGAGCGGCCGAUGUCUGAUUAGCUAGUUGGCGGGGUAAAAGCCCACCAAGGCUUCGAUCAGUAGCUGGUCUGAGAGGACGACCAGCCACACUGGGACUGAGACACGGCCCAGACUCCUACGGGAGGCAGCAGUGGGGAAUUUUGGACAAUGGGCGCAAGCCUGAUCCAGCCAUGCCGCGUGCGGGAAGAAGGCCU
rnacentral:rRNA from 1 species